CACCUAUUUGGGAAACCUCAGCUAAGCUAAGAGGCUAAGUGGGCUCUGAUGUCGACUUCCUGUUUCUUGGACCGGACGUGGGACCACGAUGGAGCCUGGUUUUAAAUUAGCUUAUCUUCAGAAAGAAGGAGCCAAAUCCUGAUCUCUUCCAGGAGAAGACAGAGCAUCAAUUGACGACAACCUUUAAUUACAACCAGUUUCUCCUCCAACAGUCAUGCACCUCCCAUGGCACGCAGUGGUGCUGGAGCAUUAUAUAUGCUCCAGCACACAUCUGCAAGGCAAGGUGAUGCCUGCGCUACCAAGUCCAGCACGCCUAAGCCGCCUGAGGAAGUGGCGGCGCUGGUUGGCUUUCCUGACCAGACUGAAAGUGAUGUUGCUCCAGCUGGAUUCUUCACUCAGGUGGCCGCCAAGGUAUCUAUAGCUGGAGACCACACAUCUUCAGAUGUGCAGCAGGAGAUCUUCCACCUCCUCACUGUUGCUGGACUCAUUGCUGUUGCUGAUGCAUCGGAGCACUGUCGCACGCAAACUGGACAACAUGUGACUGAAACAUCUGUCAGGAUGACUGAACGUCAAUAGAGUGGUCCAGCAGUGAGAGAGGAAGUGGAGGGGAAAGGAGGAGGGGAUGCAGAUCCUGUCAGCAGUGAUGGCUCAGACAGUCAGAAUCUCAUCAAGAUGUGAUGAGUAUCACUCAACAGCCAGCGUUUGUGUGUGACAAGGAUGCGGGACACACACAAACUUCCUAUAAUACAUGAAUAGGUUGUCAUUUUUCCACCUGAUGGAUGUUUUUAUCCCCUGACAAUAUCAUUGCUGCAUGUAUCAAGGUAGCGCACAACAACUGCCAGAGAUGGUGUCGUAUACUGAUGGCAUAUGGCAACAACAUAUGGGUGAUGGGAAGCUGCCUAACAUAUGACAGAACCUCCCACGGUGCUUUAGGGGCAGCUUUUGAAAGGCUUUUAGGAAUGUGCACCUUUCUACAUCUUUUACAGGCAGAGUUAGACAGACAUUCACGCAGCUAAAUUAAACAAGUACAGCCGUCGCUUACUCCCAGAGCAAAUUUUGCAGGAAUGACAUAUAGACGUAAUUAUUUUUUGGUUUAUUAAAAUGUGAUUUCAGCACUCCAGUUCAUGAGGUCUCAAUAUAGAAAAUAGCUGUGGUGAAGGCUCCAUGUUAUUAUCAGAGAAGUUUGAUAAACUUGUUUCAUUUGAACUCGAUAUCCCACAUGAGAUUUCUUUCAAUUUUCACCACCGUGGAACUUUCAGGCAAGAGACUCCAAAAUCCUUGCCUAAGCUGUCCAUGCAAGCAAACAACAGUUUCUAAUCAGGUCUUCUCGCCAAAACAAACUGGAAAUAUCUGCUCACAGUCCAUAAUUUUUGGAUAGUCUUACAGAUUUAGAAACUGCUGACUGAAAAAAAACAUCACUAAGGCGUAAAAACGAGGGAAAACCAAGUGGCAUCCAACCCAGAUUAAAGUGUCUGAAACCGGGGCUCAUUGUGCUUUUCUUGUAAUCCCAGCAAAUGUUCAUUUGUUUGGGGACAUGGCAGAAGAGUUGAAGGCAAACCCAAUCCAUGAAUUAUAAAAUUCCUGCAGCACAGUGAGACUGCAGAAACAUGCUUCAGGAUGAUACCGAGGUCGAACAUCUUUAUAGGACUGAUCCAUCUGCUUGCUGCAUUAUUUAGGACUAGUUAACCCUUUAAAGCAUAUCUGACACUAUCGACCGUAUAAUGGCUCCAAUAUUCCAAGUGCUCUUCCUUUUUAACUAGAAAUGCUAAAACAGACAAAUGCCUCAAUUUAUAUGGUUGUAUCGUCCUACUACCCCAAGUCCUCGUCUGCAUGUAUUACUAUCCACUCACAAGUGUUCACUGGAAAUUGCCGCACUUCUUUUUCAGUUAUUUAUGAAAAAUUUGCCUUUAAAUUAAAUAAUUUAAAGACGC
rnacentral:lncRNA from 1 species